rnacentral:tRNA from 3 species
GCGCAGGUGCUGGAAUUCGGUAGACAACCGGCACUCAAAACGCUGGGUCCCGGGAGGGGCGUGAGGGUUCGAGUCCCUCCCUGCGCA